rnacentral:rRNA from 1 species
AGAGUUUGAUCAUGGCUCAGGACGAACGCUGGCGGCGUGCCUAACACAUGCAAGUCGAGCGGAGUCAGUAAGAGGAAGUUUUCGGAUGGAAUCUUAUUGAUUUAGCGGCGGACGGGUGAGUAACGCGUGAGCGACCAACCUUGCACAGGGGGAUAACGGACCGAAAGGUUCACUAAUACCGCAUGAGACCACGGUGUUGCAUGACACAGAGGUCAAAGGAGCAAUCCGGUGCAAGACGGGCUCGCGUCCGAUUAGGUAGUUGGUGGGGUAACGGCCCACCAAGCCUAUGAUCGGUAGCCGACCUGAGAGGGUGAUCGGCCACAUUGGAACUGAGAUACGGUCCAAACUCCUGCGGGAGGCAGCAGUGGGGAAUAUUGGGCAAUGGGGGAAACCCUGACCCAGCAACGCCGCGUGAAGGAAGAAGGUUUUCGGAUUGUAAACUUCUGUCCUUGGUGAAGAGAAGAAGACGGUAGCCAAGGAGGAAGCCCCGGCUAACUACGUGCCAGCAGCCGCGGUAAUACGUAGGGGGCAAGCGUUGUCCGGAAUGAUUGGGCGUAAAGGGCGCGUAGGCGGCUUUAUAAGUCUGGAGUGAAAGUCCUCUUUUCAAGGGAGGAAUUGCUUUGGAAACUAUAGAGCUUGAGUGCAGGAGAGGUUAUCGGAAUUCCCGGUGUAGCGGUGAAAUGCGUAGAUAUCGGGAGGAACAUCGGUGGCGAAGGCGGGUAACUGGACUGCAACUGACGCUGAGGCGCGAAAGUGUGGGGAGCAAACAGGAUUAGAUACCCUGGUAGUCCACACGGUAAACGAUGAAUGCUAGGUGUAGGAGGUAUCGACCCCUUCUGUGCCGCAGUUAACACAAUAAGCAUUCCGCCUGGGGAGUACGGUCGCAAGAUUAAAACUCAAAGGAAUUGACGG